UCCUGUCCGGCAGAGAGCGCAGAGAGACGCAGAGCGCCGAGAGGUCCCACUGGGCCCUCCAGGCCCUCCAGCCCUGGGCUGGCCGGUGAGCUGGGGGGCCCCAGGACAGGCCGCGCCCUCUGCCCUUCAGACACUGGAGGCCUCCGCUGUGGCUGCGCGUUGGCCUGGCCAGGAUCAGGCCUUGAAGCCGUGGUGAACCUCUGUACCCCACGCCCCUUUGGUGAUUGAUGGCGGCGGUGGCUUCUCCCAGCCAGCACCCCAGCCUGGACCCUGCUGGCCACUGGGUCUCCCAGCCCAAGCGUGCCCGGCCUCGACAGAGCCCCAGCUGAGCUGCCGGGAUGCAACGCCUUUGGGAGGACCAGGAAACACAACACGGCGGCCGCUCGAAUGCUGCGCAGCGGAGGCCGUUAGGUGGUAGAGGGCUUGGGAAGGCGGCCUAAGGACGCAGGGAGGUUCGGCUGCCUCUUUAGGCCACGGAGCCGUGCAGAUCCGGGUCUCCAGUGACCACUCUGUCCCCAUUGGGCGAGACCAACUCUGCCCCCAACGGACAAAGGCCUUAACAGGCCUGGGAGGUGAGCAAAGUUGCGAACGACGACGGGUGGAACAGUUACUGGCCAUCGGGCCGUUAGUCUUCAUAAAAAACUAAAAAAGACUGGCUGGAUUGUUUCUGCUAAUACAGGACAAAGUAGUAAAUCCAUAUGAUGGUUAUUCAGAGAGAGCAAAUGAGAGGGAAAUGUGUUUCCGUAUCUUCGGUGCCACUGGAAUCUAACAUAUUUAAUUGAGGUAAUAAAAGUCGGAGCUAAUAGAGAAAAAAAGCCUUCAGCAGGGACAAUGAGCAAAUUAGAUGCCUCUCUGCUCAGCGUGAGGUUUUUUCAGCUGCAAAAGUAAAAUGAAUCAACCACGGAAUUACCCCAAGAAACUAAUAGCUACUGCUGUAGUGGUAGAACAUUAAAUAUCUGGGCAAAUAAAUUUUACAUCCUCAGGCUGAUUGUGAGACAAAGUCAGCAAAUUCUAAUUGAGGUGCAUUCUACAAAACACCUGACUACUACUCCUCAAACCGUCAAGUUCUUCAGAAAUAAAGAAGGUUUAAGAAAUUAUUACAGUCAAGAUACAUGGCAACUAAACGUGAUGUGGUAUCCUGUAUGGGAUACAGAAACUGAAAAAGUACAUUAUGUAAAAUCCAAGGAAACCUGAAUCAAGUAUGGAUGUUAAUUAAUAAUAAUAUUCAAUUUUGGUUCAUUAGGUAUGAUAAAUGUAUUACAACAGGGGUCCAAAGUGGCUCCCGCCGGAGGUCGUGGCGCUUGCGAAGGCGAGGUCAUGAGUUCAAGGCUAACCUGAGCAACCUUAUAAGCUCAAACUGAUUGUCAAAAAAAAAAAUGUAUUACAACAAUGAAACAUACUAACCACAGGAUAACUUCCCAAUCCAUACUAAAUGCCCAAUAAUUAUUGUAUAUGAAAACUAUUAUGUUCAUAACUUUACUUUAAAUCUCUAUGUGGUGAUAUUUUCUGGAAAGCAUUUCUUGUCUAUUCAUUUACUCCUCACAAGAAUUCUAUAGUGUAGAUAUUUUUCAUUUACCUUUGGGUAAAAAAGUAAAACAUGAUUUUUUUGCAUCUUGCUUAACAUCACUCAAGUCUUAGGUGGUAGAAAUAGGACUUGAAUUAUAUGAUUACAAAUUCUUUUCUGCAGCAACACAAACCAUGAAAUAUCAACAGCACUGAGAACCUUGAUAGCAGGCAAUAUCUUUGAAUAAUUAAUUCACAUUUCUAAGUGAUAUGUAUAGCAUUAUAUAUUGUAAUGAGUUUUAAAUUAUGUGUUGACAGGUAUCUAAAGAUGAAAAUAGAGGUCAAGUAUUUGGGUUCUGGGAGCAAAUUGCCUAGACUCAAAUCCCACUGUAACACUUUGCAGCUGAAUGACCUGGCCGAAGUUGUCUGUGGUGUGUUUAUUCUGUUCCUUAAAACAUGAUGCUAUGGCAAUAUUUAAAAGGAGCCAAGCCUGCUAACUCAGACAGCAUUUCCAGACCUCCCAUGGAGUGCAUAUUCAUGUACUGGUGCUUUCGUUUCUUUGAAAUAGACUCCCAAAGUGGAAUUUAUGAAACAAAGGUACUAAGAAUUUAUAAUUUUUAUAACGGUGAGCCAAGGUAGUUUAGAAAACGAUAGUUACUUUCACUGGCAAUAUUCAAGUGACAUCGUUUUCUCUUUUUUAUUGUAUUUUUCCAUUUUCUCUGCUCCCAAUCCACAACCCAAAUGUCAGCUAAAAAUAAUCAUUUACAUUUAUUUGAACCUACAUGCCAUGGGUUACU